AUUGAACGCUGGCGGCAGGCUUAACACAUGCAAGUCGAGCGGGGUGAUGGUGCUUGCACUAUCACUUAGCGGCGGACGGGUGAGUAAUGCUUAGGAAUCUGCCUAUUAGUGGGGGACAACAUCUCGAAAGGGAUGCUAAUACCGCAUACGUCCUACGGGAGAAAGCAGGGGAUCACUUGUGACCUUGCGCUAAUAGAUGAGCCUAUGUCGGAUUAGCUAGUUGGUGGGGUAAAGGCCUACCAAGGCGACGAUCUGUAGCGGGUCUGAGAGGAUGAUCCGCCACACUGGGACUGAGACACGGCCCAGAAUCCUACGGGAGGCAGCAGUGGGGAAUAUUGGACAAUGGGGGGAACCCUGAUCCAGCCAUGCCGCGUGUGUGAAGAAGGCCUUAUGGUUGUAAAGCACUCUAAGCGAGGAGGAGGCUCUUUUGGUUAAUACCCAAGAUGAGUGGACGUUACUCGCAGAAUAAGCACCGGCUAACUCUGUGCCAGCCGCCGCCGUAA
rnacentral:rRNA from 1 species